GAUGAACGCUGGCGGCGUGCCUAAUACAUGCAAGUCGAGCGAACGGACGAGAAGCUUGCCUUUCUGAUGUUAGCGGCGGACGGGUGAGUAACACGUGGAUAACCUACCUAUAAGACUGGGAUAACUUCGGGAAACCGGAGCUAAUACCGGAUAAUAUUUUGAACCGCAUGGUUCAAAAGUGAAAGACGGUCUUGCUGUCACUUAUAGAUGGAUCCGCGCUGCAUUGGCUAGUUGGUAAGGUAACGGCUUACCAAGGCAACGAUGCAUAGCCGACCUGAGAGGGUGAUCGGCCACACUGGAACUGAGACACGGUCCAGACUCCUACGGGAGGCAGCAGUAGGGAAUCUUCCGCAAUGGGCGAAAGCCUGACGGAGCAACGCCGCGUGAGUGAUGAAGGUCUUCGGAUCGUAAAACUCUGUUAUUAGGGAAGAACAUAUGUGUAAGUAACUGUGCACAUCUUGACGGUACCUAAUCAGAAAGCCACGGCUAACUACGUG
rnacentral:rRNA from 1 species